GCGGUUGUAGCUCAUUCGGUUAGAGCGCUUGAUUGUGGUUCAAGAGGUAGUCGGUUCGAUCCCGAUCAUCCGCCCCA
rnacentral:tRNA from 1 species